UACGAAGGGUGCAAGCGUUAGUCGGAAUUACUGGGCGUAAAGCGUGCGUAGGUGGUUUCUUAAGUCCGUUGUGAAAGCCCUGGGCUCAACCUGGGAACUGCAGUGGAUACUGAGAGGCUAGAGUGUGUCAGAGGAUGGUGGAAUUCCCGGUGUAGCGGUGAAAUGCGUAGAGAUCGGGAGGAGCACCAGUGGCGAAGGCGGCACUCUGGGCCAGUACUGACGCUGAGACGCGAAAGCGUGGGGAGCGAACAGG
rnacentral:rRNA from 1 species